rnacentral:rRNA from 1 species
CGAAUGGGCGAAAGCCUGACGCAGCUACGCCGCGUGGGUGAUGAAGGCCUUCGGGUUGUAAAGCCCUGUCGGGAGGGACGAAGUUCUGACGGUACCUCCCAAGAAAGCACCGGCUAACUCCGUGCCAGCAGCCGCGGUAAUACGGAGGGUGCAAGCGUUGCUCGGAAUCAUUGGGCGUAAAGCGUACGCAGGCUGUUCGUUAAGUCGGGUGUGAAAGCCCGGGGCUCAACCCCGGAACUGCGCCCGAAACUGGCGAGCUUGAGUGCGGGAGAGGGAAGCGGAAUUCCUGGUGUAGAGGUGAAAUUCGUAGAUAUCAGGAGGAACACCGGUGGCGAAAGCGGCUUCCUGGCCCGACACUGACGCUCAUGUGCGAAGGCGUGGGGAGCAAACAGGAUUAGAUACCCUGGUAGUCCACGCCGUAAACGAUGAGUGCUAGCUGCUGGGAAUGUUUACCGUCUCAGUGGCGAAGCUAACGCAUUAAGCACUCCGCCUGGGAAGUACGGCCGCAAGGCUA